CACGUAGGGUGCGAGCGUUGUCCGGAAUUAUUGGGCGUAAAGAGCUCGUAGGCGGUGUGUCGCGUCGGCCGUGAAAACCUGCAGCUUAACUGUGGGCUUGCGGUCGAUACGGGCAUCACUGGAGUUCGGCAGGGGAGACUGGAAUUCCUGGUGUAGAGGUGAAAUUCGUAGAUAUUGGGAAGAACACCGGUGGCGAAGGCGGCUCUCUGGACCGAGACUGACGCUGAGGCGCGAAAGCGUGGGGAGCAAACAGG
rnacentral:rRNA from 1 species